rnacentral:rRNA from 1 species
UACGUAGGUGGCAAGCGUUGUUCGGAAUUAUUGGGCGUAAAGGGCGCGUAGGCGGUUUGCUAAGUCAGUUGUGAAAGCCCGGGGCUCAACCCCGGAGAGUCGGCUGAUACUGGUGGACUAGAGUACGGAAGAGGUAGCUGGAAUUCCCGGUGUAGCGGUGAAAUGCGUAGAUAUCAGGAGGAACACCGGUGGCGAAGGCGGCCAUCUGGACCGGUCCUGACGCUGAGGCGCGAAAGCGUGGGGAGCAAACAGG